rnacentral:tRNA from 1 species
CUAAGGAUGGUUCUUCAGAAGCUUGCUUCUAUCGAACCGUUUUACAAACAUCAGUGGCCAACGGUCGUCAGGAUCGUUGAGCUGCAUUGGCGGGAUUUCGCCGUCUUCGUUUCUCUUUCUUCGCGGACGAACACGCGCUGGGGCUGCAACCUUGCAGAAUCCCUGGUCCUUGAGUGGAUAUGCGUUAGGGGCUUGUAGCUCAGUUGGUUAGAGCGCGCGCUUGAUAAGCGUGAGGUCGGAAGUUCAAGUCGUCCCAGGCCCACCACACUCAUCGAGUGAGCAUUCGUCUUCUGGUUACGGGGCCAUAGCUCAGCUGGGAGAGCGCGUGCUUUGCAAGCAUGAGGUCGUCGGUUCGAUCCCGUCUGGCUCCACCAGAUGGUUUGAUCACCGGCUGCUCAUACCGUCGUCCGCGAAACAUCACUUCGCACUUACUAGUCCGGAUGGACAGUAAGCUGCGUGAUUUCUGACAUCGUAAAGAGGAGAUCGAUCCGAGUUGGAUCGGGCAACAAGUAAUUGUUGCGCGAUACUUCAUUAUCUCCGGAUCAUUUCGGCGCUCGUGCGUCUUCCAUUGUAGCUCACAAGGCUGCUUUGAAAGACAAGCGAGUUGUAAAUGAUCCUUUUAGCGAAGCUUGACCGCCUCGCUAUCGGAACGAUCUUACGAAGCAAGCUGGUCUUUCUAAUCAUUGUCCGGCUGCAGAUAGCGUUCAUCGAGGGCGCGUGCCGCAAGGUAGUUCUGCAGACAACAUUCUGCCGAGUGUGUGGACAUUGAUAAUGAGAGC